AGUCGAGGGGUAUAGUUCUUCGGAAUAGAGACCGGCGCACGGGUGCGUAACGCGUAUGCAAUCUACCUUUUACAGAGGGAUAGCCCAGAGAAAUUUGGAUUAAUACCUCAUAGCAUUAUGAAGUGGCAUCACUUUAUAAUUAAAGUCACAACGGUAAAAGAUGAGCAUGCGUCCCAUUAGCUAGUUGGUAAGGUAACGGCUUACCAAGGCUACGAUGGGUAGGGGUCCUGAGAGGGAGAUCCCCCACACUGGUACUGAGACACGGACCAGACUCCUACGGGAGGCAGCAGUGAGGAAUAUUGGUCAAUGGGCGCAAGCCUGAACCAGCCAUGCCGCGUGCAGGAUGACGGUCCUAUGGAUUGUAAACUGCUUUUGUACGGGAAGAAACAGCGAUUCGUGAAUCGCCUUGACGGUACCGUAAGAAUAAGGAUCGGCUAACUCCGUGCCAGCAGCCGCGGUAAUACGGAGGAUCCAAGCGUUAUCCGGAAUCAUUGGGUUUAAAGGGUCCGUAGGCGGUUUGGUAAGUCAGUGGUGAAAGCCCAUCGCUCAACGGUGGAACGGCCAUUGAUACUGCCAGACUUGAAUUAUUAGGAAGUAACUAGAAUAUGUAGUGUAGCGGUGAAAUGCUUAGAGAUUACAUGGAAUACCAAUUGCGAAGGCAGGUUACUACUAAUGGAUUGACGCUGAUGGACGAAAGCGUGGGUAGCGAACAGG
rnacentral:rRNA from 1 species